UCGAGAAUCUUGGUCAAUGCACGAAAGUGUGAACCAGCGACGCCGCGUGAAGGAUGAAGGACCUCUGGUUCGUAAACUUCUUUUAGGGGGGAAGAAUGGGCUUUAUGCCUUUGACGGUACCCUCUGAAUAAGCCACGGCUAACUACGUGCCAGCAGCCGCGGUAAUACGUAGGUGGCAAGCGUUGUCCGGAUUUACUGGGCGUAAAGCGUAUGCAGGCGGAUACUUAAGUAGGAAGUGAAAGGUGGGAGCUCAACUCCCACAUUGCUCCCUAUACUGGGUGUCUUGAGUGGCGGAGAGGGAGAUGGAACGACACGUGUAGCGGUGAAAUGCGUUGAUAUGUGUCGGAACACCAAUGGCGAAAGCAAUCUCCUGGACGCAAACUGACGCUGAGAUACGAAAGCCAAGGUAGCAAACAGG
rnacentral:rRNA from 1 species